rnacentral:rRNA from 1 species
AGCGGCGAAAGGGACAGUAAUGUGUAGAUCAUCUGCCCUCAGGCCCGGGAUAGCUGCGGGAAACUGCAGGUAAUACCGGAUAACAUCUCCGGAUCAAAGGUGUGAUUCCGCCUGUGGAUGAGUCUGCAUCCUAUUAGCUAGUUGGUAGGGUAACGGCCUACCAAGGCAAUGAUGGGUAGCGGGUGUGAGAGCACGACCCGCGUCACUGGGACUGAGACACUGCCCAGACACCUACGGGUGGCUGCAGUCGAGAAUCUUCGGCAAUGGACGCAAGUCUGACCGAGCGACGCCGCGUGUGGGAUGAAGGCCUUCGGGUUGUAAACCACUGUCAGAGGGGAGGAAAUGCAGGUGGGUUCUCCCAUCGGUUUGACCUAUCCUCAGAGGAAGUACGGGCUAAGUUCGUGCCAGCAGCCGCGGUAAGACGAACCGUACGAACGUUAUUCGGAAUCACUGGGCUUAAAGGGUGCGUAGGCGGCGCGGAAAGUUGGGUGUGAAAUCCCUCGGCUCAACCGAGGAACUGCGCCCAAAACUUCCGUGCUCGAGGGAGAUAGAGGUGAGCGGAACUUAGGGUGGAGCGGUGAAAUGCGUUGAUAUCCUAAGGAACACCGGUGGCGAAAGCGGCUCACUGGAUCUCUUCUGACGCUGAGGCACGAAAGCUAGGGUAGCGAACGGGAUUAGAUACCCCGGUAGUCCUAGCCGUAAACGAUGAGCACUGGAUUGGAGGGUCCUCC